CUCCUGGGAGGAAAGGGGCAGGUCUCCCUUACGCUCUCGUUGUCUCUACGCCUCGCCGUUCUUGGUGCAGAGGACUCGGGAGGGCUGCGUUAAUGAGACAAGACGUUGCCUCUGCUCUGUGACCAUGAAACUGUUUGACCCAUAGACCCUGGACGCCCGGGGUCUCACAGACCGGGCACUGUGAGGUCACAGGCGGCCUGACGCUGGGCCGCCUUCCUGGAGAGGGAGCCGAGCGCCCGUGCCCUCCGGAGAGAGAGGUCCCUCUGGCCCUCGUCUCCAACUCGGGCCGGCUUUCUGUGCCUUUAACACUUGCAAAAUGUCCAGGAAGCAAGGCUUAUUUAGAAUACAGUAGAAUUUGAAGGGGCAAGACUUUUCAGAAGUGGGCAGAGGGUCUGAGAAACUUAGAAAAGGAAAAGCAAUUAACAGGUUCUCUCCUUUCGUCCUGCCCGCGGGGACCUGAGCACCUGACAAGUGGCCAGUCCGAAGGCUUAGUAUGAAAAUAACGAAAAUGUCUCGCUAACAAUUUUUACAUCGAUUACAUGUUGAGAUAAUAUAUUGAUAUAUUAGAUGAAAAUAUAUUGAAAUUGUACUUUGAAAAUAUAGCUAUCAGAAAAAAUUUCAAUUGCACGUAUGACUCGCAUUAGUUUUCUUUUGGACGGCAGUGCUCUUUUUGUGGUUAAGUGAGUUUGUUUAGAUACUGAGGAUUUAUGGGUCCUGCAAAAUGUCUGUAGUGCUAUUUGCCAUCACUAGAUGGCUGCCUCAUUCAACAGACUAGUUUUAUAUUUCCAUCUAACAACUACCAAGAAUUCCACAUAUUUUCAGAGAUUCGAUCGACUUUUUCUGUAACACUGACUGUAAACACAAACCUGAAGUAAAGUUACUUUAUGAUACAGUUUUAUAUGUCAGUACAAAAAAAACCCCUGAAAAUUGGAACCACUAAAAAUCAAGCAAGUUAAGUAAUCAUUCAAAGUGAACUAAGACUUCAUUUCAUUUAUCUCUCUAUUCAUUCUAGACAAAGGCUACUCCAUAUAAAUGUAAAUCUAUUUAUGGGAAAAAGAUAUCUUGAAUCUAAAAACAACUGGGAAGAUACAUUACCACUGGAAGUAGCAAGCUUACUGCAUCAACUCCUGAAGACUCAUUUAUUUUAACAAAAUAUAGGCAACUUUGCAGACCCACAUAAGAUAAUCUUGUAUUAUGUAAUAAUUGAUUAAAAUUUUUUAAAUUGCUUAAGAAUUUAUUUCUCAGAAAAGUACUAUUCUGAGUUGUGAGCUG
rnacentral:lncRNA from 1 species